CCGGCGAGGGGAGUGAAAAAGAACCUGAAACCGUGUACGUACAAGCAGUGGGAGCACCCUUUGGGGUGUGACUGCGUACCUUUUGUAUAAUGGGUCAGCGACUUAUAUUCUGUAGCAAGGUUAACCGUAUAGGGGAGCCGCAGGGAAACCGAGUCUUAACCGGGCGUUAAGUUGCAGGGUAUAGACCCGAAACCCGGUGAUCUAGCCAUGGGCAGGUUGAAGGUUGGGUAACACUAACUGGAGGACCGAACCGACUAAUGUUGAAAAA
rnacentral:rRNA from 2 species